UCUUGUGCAAUAAACGAAAGUAUGACACAGAGAGGACACAUUUAAUUGAGCCCGUCAAAUUAAGUGCCAGCCGACGCGGUUAAACUUAAGGGCUGGUCUUUAUAAGUAAAAAGGCGUAAAGGAUGUGUAGGCCAAGAAACGAUCCAAGUAGGUAAAUGGAAUUUUUCUGGAGCGGUAGAAUGUGAGGAUAGAAAAUAGAACCCCUAAGGUAAAAACUAUUUACUACAAGGUAGGCUGAAACAUGAGAGUGUGGGGAGCAAACAGGAUUAGAGACCCUGGUAGUCCACACUGUGAACUUUGAAGAUGAUGCUUAGCAGACCCGAAAGGUAAAAUCUUCCGCCUGAGUAGUACGAUCGCAAGAUUAAAAUUCAAAAACUUUGGCUGUUCACUAUUUCGAUUAGAGGAGCGUGUAGUUUAAUUCGAUGGUCCGCGUGUUACCUUACCCCAACUUGAAUCUGUGACCGGUAUUGCAUGGCCGUCGUAAGUUCGUGUAUUAAGCUAGAAGGGACCCAACCCGGGCACUUGCCCGGAGGAAGUCAGGUCUUAUGAUCCGAAUGUUGGGGGAUUUUAUGCGCUACAUUUUCUUAUAUAAUGAGAAACCUGGAAGGUGAAUCUCUAAAGUAAGAGUUCGGAAGGUCGCUGUAAGACGACUGGAAGUUGGAUUUAAUAGUAAUCGGAAAGUAGGGCGUUCCGGUGAAUUGGUACAAGUGUUAGCACAAAUUGCCCGUCACCUUUACUUAGAAUGGUUAUUCGG
rnacentral:rRNA from 1 species